rnacentral:rRNA from 1 species
GACGAACGCUGGCGGCGUGCUUAACACAUGCAAGUCGAACGGAAAGGCCCUGCUUUUGUGGGGUGCUCGAGUGGCGAACGGGGGAGUAACACGUGAGUAACCUGCCCUUGACUUUGGGAUAACUUCAGGAAACUGGGGCUAAUACCGGAUAGGAGCUCCUGCUGCAUGGUGGGGGUUGGAAAGUUUCGGCGGUUGGGGAUGGACUCGCGGCUUAUCAGCUUGUUGGUGGGGUAGUGGCUUACCAAGGCUUUGACGGGUAGCCGGCCUGAGAGGGUGACCGGCCACAUUGGGACUGAGAUACGGCCCAGACUCCUACGGGAGGCAGCAGUGGGGAAUAUUGCACAAUGGGCGGAAGCCUGAUGCAGCAACGCCGCGUGCGGGAUGACGGCCUUCGGGUUGUAAACCGCUUUCGCCUGUGACGAAGCGUGAGUGACGGUAAUGGGUAAAGAAGCACCGGGUAACUACGUG